ACGAAAAAUAAAAAUGUUUCAUUAGAAGAAUGAAAAUUCCCUGAGAAGCCAACUAUCGCGUCUUUUCAGUUGUUCUUUUGUAGGUUUGAAAGUGAUUUUAAAACAGUGAAGAAUGAAAAAAAACUGCGGAACCGUGUCAGAGAACUUUUUCAGCGUACUGCAAACCAUUGAGGCAGGUAAACCAGUUCUUUCGGUUGUACCUCAGAGAUGGGUGCAGGGAAAGUAUUUAUUCUGGCCAGAUCGCAAUGCUGAAAAAUUAAACAAAGACCCGUCAUCCCGUCCGGCUUCCAGCUGGAAUAAAAUAGUAUGCUCAGUAAAGGAGCGACGCAUAAAUAACUUUUUUGAAGCGGAAGAGGCAGCAGCAAAUUUAUCCGGUGCUACAACAGAUGUUUCCGAUGCUGGCCCUUCAAUCCCGAAAAAACCUCGUUUGAAACGCACACAUCAAUUCAAUCAUCAAACGAAUCCUAUAAAAAGUGACAUGGACUUCAAUCAAUAUCUUGCGAAAUCUUUCGUAUAACUAUAUGAAAUCUGUAAUUGGACCGCAAGGUGAUCCUUGCAACGGGCUCAAUGUAUGCUACGAUUUAAUUGACAACAUCUUCGAACGGAAAUUUAUGGUAUGUGCUCUUGGACGGGUACGAGCCGAAGCGAGCAACCAAAAUAUGCUAUCAAAGAAUUUAGAAACAUUCUCAGCGCUUUUUUUACUAUAGUGAAAAGUGUAAACAAUAAUUUUUCCAUCAAAAUGAUGGAAAGUUUUUUCAAAUCCAUCACUAAAAACGCGAAAAAACGAAGCGAAGCGAAGGGAUUGCGGAUGUCAACCGCUCAUCGUCGAACAAAGAAGCCGAAAGCUGGUCCCACUAAUUUCUCAAUAGAUGAAAUCGCUAUCUUAAAUAACCAAUCUUCUGAAGAAAAUGGAACAGAAACGAGUAGUCUGAAAGAGAAUGAUGAGAAUGACGAGAAUGGCGUAAGUGACGAAUAGGAACGAGGCUCGAGGAAAAUAUAUUGUUUAAUAUAUAUUGUAGAUUUAGUUAUGCGUAAGUUUAUCUGCUAUCAUAAUUUGUAGUCAUUAGCUUCAUGGUUGGUUUCGAACCCAUUUUUAAAUAAUUAACUGUACUUAAAUUAAUUCUUAAUUAGUUAUACCAUAUUGAAUAUAUUUCUUUUUAUUAUAUUUAGUACAAUUUUCUGCUUUUUAUACGUACAUGAGAAAUCAAACGUAAAGAAUCAAACAAUUAAUCUUUAAAAAACAGUCUUGCUUUCUAUGCUACAUAGUUACUGUAUAGUGUGCUGAAGUGGUAUAAAAACAUAUCUAGUUUUUUUGUAUUUGAUUGCAAUUAAUUUGCAUUUUAUAUCACUAGGACAAUAUACUUUUUCUUUUCCAUGGCAUGUUAUAUCAGUUAUAUAUAUAUUUAAAACUGAGGAACGAAUAGGAAUUUUGAAAAAAUCUUCCUUUUGCUUAAGGUGGCAACCGGCAAUUUUCAAAUCCUUAUGCGAAGUCAUUGUCGCAGAAGACG